rnacentral:rRNA from 1 species
AUAUAAAGUCUGACCUGCCCACUGAAAAUUUUAAAUGGCUGCAGUAAUUUGACUGUACAAAGGUAGCAUAAUCAUUAGUUUUUUAAUUAAAAGCUUGUAUGAAAGGUUGGACGAAGUAAAAUCUGUCUCUUUUUAAUAUAAUUAGAAUUUAAUUUUUAAGUAAAAAAGCUUAAAUUUUUAUAAAAGACGAGAAGACCCUAUAGAGUUUAAUAAUUUUAAUAAAAUAUUUAAUUAAGAUUUAUUAAUUUUAUUUAAUUAAAAUUAUUUUAUUGGGGUAAUAAAAAGAUUAAAAAAAUUCUUUUUUUUUAAUACAUUAAUUUAUGAAUAUAUGAUCCAUUUGUAGUGAUUAAAAGAUUAAAUUACCUUAGGGAUAACAGCGUAAUUUUUUUAAAGAGUUCUUAUCGAUAAAAAAGUUUGCGACCUCGAUGUUGGAUUAAAGAUUAAUUUAGGUGUAGAAGUUUAAAUUUUUGGUCUGUUCGACCAUUAAAUCUUUACAUGAUCUGAGUUCAAACCGGUGUAAGCCAGGUUGGUUUCUAUCUUUAUUAAUUUUUUAUAUUUUAGUACGAAAGGACCAAAUAUAAAAUAUAUAAAUAUUUUUAUUUUGAAUAUUAUU